rnacentral:rRNA from 1 species
CGUAGGAUGCGAGCGUUAAUCGGAAUUACUGGGCGUAAAGCGUGCGCAGGCGGUUUUGUAAGACAGAUGUGAAAUCCCCGGGCUCAACCUGGGACCUGCAUUUGUGACUGCAAGGCUAGAGUACGGUAGAGGGGGAUGGAAUUCCGCGUGUAGCAGUGAAAUGCGUAGAUAUGCGGAGGAACACCGAUGGCGAAGGCAAUCCCCUGGACCUGUACUGACGCUCAUGCACGAAAGCGUGGGGAGCAAACAGGAUUAGAUACCCUGGUAGUCCACGUCCUAAACGAUGUCAACUGGUUGUUGGGUCUUUACUGACUCAGUAACGAAGCUAACGCGUGAAGUUGACCGCCUGGGGGAGUACGGCCGCAAGGUUG